UCAGUCGAGUCGGGUAGCUUGGGAAUGCUGCUCUAAUCGGUGGUAAAUCUCAUCGAAGGCUAAAUACUGGUGGGAGACUGAUAGCAAAAAAGUACCGUGAGGGAAAGAUGAAAAGCACUUUGAAAAGAGAGUGAAAAGAACCUGAAACCAUUCUGUGGGAAGCGUAUUGCAUCACAAUGAGAGACGUUUGCAUGUUCAACCUUUCGGGGUGCAUUCAUGUAGAGGUCUAUCUGUCGUGGGCUUGUGGGCAGUCGAUUUUUAUUUUGGGCUGCCUCAGGCUGAGGGCUCCGCGAAAGCGUUGAGGACGGCAGAGGGACGAUGCGAUUCGACCCGUCUUGAAACACGGACCAAGGAGUCUAGCACAUCUGCGAGUCAAAGGGUGUUUAAACCCCAGGGCGCAGUGAAAGCAAAUUUGUUCCAUAAAACGAGCAGUUUGAGGCGGCAUACGAUCGUUGAUUGUAAGUCUGACCUAGAGCAAAUGUGCUGGGACCCGAAAGAUGGUGAACUAUGCCGGAGUAGGGCGAAGCCAGAGGAAACUCUGGUGGAGGCUCGUAGCGGUGCUGACGUGCAAAUCGCUCGUCCAACUCGGGUAUA
rnacentral:rRNA from 1 species